UUUAUUGCAAACAAUUUAACAAGAAAAGGUUCAGGCGUAAACUCGCCGGCCGUCACUAUCCAAAAGCUCCGGCGGCUCGCCGUCUGGAGCCCCGGGAGAGGAAACGCUUCAGUCGGGAAAGCCGGCCGGAGAGACGGUGGGCACCUGGGACCGCGAGCAAGAGGCUCUGCAAGCAGAGUGCAGACCGGUUGGAUUCUCACCUUCGAACUGACCGCUCAUCUGUCCAGUUUCACGCCACACGGGAGCUCUGCGCUUCGGCGUCCAGGCUGUUGUAGAGGACAGGAAGGCCGGGGAGCUGGAGAGGAGAAACUAGGGAAUAAGACACCUGCUGAAACACCACUAACAGACCUGAGCAAGCAUUAACAGAGGUAGCAACAUCAAAUAGCAACUAAAACGAAACGUUCCAUUUCAACCCCUUUUAAAAGUAUGAAAGUUGUGGUUUAGUUUCGAUUCAAGCCUUCUGAUGAAGUUAAAGUCUCUUCUAAGAUCCAGUUAGUGACCGCUUUCUUUAUCACUCUUAAGCUCUAAUGCCUUCGUUUUAAACUGUUCCCAUCCAAAUAAGAAGAACUUUAUUCAACAUUCUCCUACCCAACUUAAACGAAACGUUGCGUAUUCGUUUCCUGUAGGUGCAAAGCCGCUAUUUAAAGGCAAAGAUGCAAUAAGUCUGCCAGAACGAUUUUUCAAGGAGACCAACUGAUACAAGAUUAAUCACACCUGGCUUCGGACUUUUAAUUACUUAGAAAUGUGUAAAACAUGGACUGGAUCCUGGAGUUGGCCGGCUCCGCUUUGAAAACAGUCGGUCAGGCACAAGUAAUUUGGAGGACAAUUCCACUUCAUACUUCUAACCGAGCCUCUGAUUAAAUAUCCUUAUUGAACCUUUAAUUUAAUAUUUACGAUUUGCUUCAGUUCAAUUCAACGUACUAUAUUCAUCCCUAGGGGUACAGAACAUCAGUUGUAAAAUAUUAGAUAUUAGCGUCAAUCUUGCCCCAGAAAGUGUUUCAGAAUUCCUAUAUUUUAAGUUUGGAUCAAGUAAUAAGAAUUAUACUGUUAGUGUUUGAUGGGCAAUCUCACCUGUGAUUACUGUACUGUACAUCACUCACGAACAGUGGACCCCAAGACGUUUCACUGUAUUACCUAUGUGUGCAGUCUAUAAAACCGUAUUGAAUUUUGAUAACUUUUUAAAGUAAUCAAAAUGAAUUUGC
rnacentral:lncRNA from 1 species